rnacentral:rRNA from 1 species
UGUCCUACGGGGGGCAGCAGUGAGGAAUAUUGGUCAAUGGCCGAGAGGCUGAACCAGCCAAGUCGCGUGAGGGAAGACGGCCCUACGGGUUGUAAACCUCUUUUGUCGGGGAGCAAAGCGAACCACGUGUGGUUCAUUGAGAGUACCCGAAGAAAAAGCAUCGGCUAACUCCGUGCCAGCAGCCGCGGUAAUACGGAGGAUGCGAGCGUUAUCCGGAUUUAUUGGGUUUAAAGGGAGCGUAGACGGCAGCGCAAGUCUGGAGUGAAAUGCCGGGGCUCAACCCCGGAACUGCUUUGGAAACUGUG